rnacentral:pre_miRNA from 1 species
UUUAAUUAUAGUUGUGGAUUUCCGUAUCGAUCGUCUGUUUUAUUAAAAAAAUAUAAUUAAUAUUUUUUAUUGUUAUUAGAUGACAAAACAUAAAUAGUACUUUAUGCGUGAUUUAUUUUUUCUAAAUUUUUUCAUAAUUUUUUUAAAUAAGACGGAUAAUCAAACAUUGGACAUGGAAAUUCAUAGCUGCACUUAAA